AGCCACUGAGCCAUCUCUCCAUCUCCCGAAGUCAGUCAAGCUAUCUCUCCAAGCUCUCAAAAUACAUAAAGUAUCCCCAAAAAGUAUCAUGGCAGAUUAAGACCAUGAACCAAGUGGGACUGUGGGAAAGUCAGGACAAAGUGCAAGAGUGUGACAGAGCAAAAAGCCACUUGAAAUUUCAGAUUAUUACAUUAUUGACUUAUUUUCAUCUUAAACUUUUUUAACAUUAAACAUAGCACCUUGUAUAUGGCUCCUUAGGCAGGCAGGCAAGAUCUCAGUGUGUAGCAGCCCAGGCUAGCCUGGAACUUGUCCUUAAUGUUGCAGCUCCAACCUCCCAAGUACUGAGGUUAUAGGUGUGAGCCACUACAUCUGGCCUUUUCUGUGUAUUUGUAAGAAAUGUUUUGGUUUUGUUUGU
rnacentral:lncRNA from 1 species